rnacentral:ncRNA from 1 species
AACACAGGUUUUGGGGCCCCUGGUUCAGGCAGGCCAGGGAAUCCCCACUCUUACACAGGCAGGCUGACCUCCAGCCGCCACGGCCCCAGGGGCCGGAUGCAACACAGCGUCGCCACGAGCGACCAGGUUUCAGGGGGCCUUGGUACAGGCAGGCCGGGGAAUCCCCUUUUUUAUCCACAGGCG